CUUAACUUUUAUUCAUUUUUUCUUUGUAUCUUAAGUGUUGAUGUUCUUCUCCAAAUGCAGCUUCAACUCAGACAGUGUUAAGCUGGAGCGGAAUCUGAUCACUUAGCCUAGCCGCUUUCUGUAUUCAGACAUCCCUUCCCUCGUCUUCUUGCCAGUUGGUAGUACAGUGGUCUGUAUUGUCCUGCACACGUUGUUCUAGAAUGCGUACUAAGAAGUUAACUCAGUAAAUACACCAACAGCAUCCCAGUACAUCUGUAGGACUGAGACAUUGUCCCAUAGUA
rnacentral:lncRNA from 1 species